UCGAACGAUAUCAUCCAGCUUGCUGGAUGAGAAAGUGGCGCACGGGUGCGUAACGCGUAUGCAACCUACCUUAAUCAGGGGGAUAGCCCGGAGAAAUCCGGAUUAAUACCGCAUAAAAUCACAGUCCCACCUGGGACAAUGAUCAAACAUUUAUGGGAUUGAGAUGGGCAUGCGUGUCAUUAGCUAGUUGGCGGGGUAACGGCCCACCAAGGCGACGAUGACUAGGGGAUCUGAGAGGAUGGCCCCCCACACUGGUACUGAGACACGGACCAGACUCCUACGGGAGGCAGCAGUAAGGAAUAUUGGUCAAUGGAGGCAACUCUGAACCAGCCAUGCCGCGUGCAGGAAGACUGCCCUAUGGGUUGUAAACUGCUUUUAUCCGGGAAUAAACCUCUUUACGUGUAAAGAGCUGAAUGUACCGGAAGAAUAAGGAUCGGCUAACUCCGUGCCAGCAGCCGCGGUAAUACGGAGGAUCCAAGCGUUAUCCGGAUUUAUUGGGUUUAAAGGGUGCGUAGGCGGCCUGUUAAGUCAGGGGUGAAAGACGGUAGCUCAACUAUCGCAGUGCCCUUGAUACUGAUGGGCUUGAAUGGACUAGAGGUAGGCGGAAUGAGACAAGUAGCGGUGAAAUGCAUAGAUAUGUCUCAGAACACCGAUUGCGAAGGCAGCUUACUAUGGUCUUAUUGACGCUGAGGCACGAAAGCGUGGGGAUCAAACAGGAUUAGAUACCCUGGUAGUCCACGCCCUAAACGAUGAACACUCGCUGUUGGCGAUACACAGUCAGCGGCUAAGCGAAAGCGUUAAGUGUUCCACCUGGGGAGUACGCUCGCAAGAGUGAAACUCAAAGGAAUUGACGGGGGCCCGCACAAGCGGAGGAGCAUGUGGUUUAAUUCGAUGAUACGCGAGGAACCUUACCCGGGCUUGAAAGUUAGUGAAUCAUUUAGAGAUAAAUGAGUCCGCAAGGACACGAAACUAGGUGCUGCAUGGCUGUCGUCAGCUCGU
rnacentral:rRNA from 1 species